rnacentral:sRNA from 1 species
CUGGUUGAUCUGGUAGUGCCUUCUGCUAUGGCGUGCAGGCAGAGAGGAGGCUCUUGGAGUCCCUCAGGCUGGUUCAAUGCAGGCUGGAGCACCUACAGGUCGAUUUCUCUCUUCUUCGCCCUUGUGACUUCAGUGAACUCCAUAGAUGUUUCUCAGUUGGUAAAUCCUGCCUUUCCAGGCACUGUCACUUGCGAUGAAAGGGAAAUAACAGUGGAGUUCCCAAGCAGUCCUGGCACCAAGAAAUGGCAUGCAUCUGUGGUGGAUCCUCUUGGUCUCGACAUGCCGAACUGCACUUACAUCCUGGACCCAGAAAAGCUCACCCUGAGGUCUACCUAUGAUAACUGUACCAGGAGAGUGCAUGGUGGACACCAGAUGACCAUCAGAGUCAUGAACGACAGUGCUGCCUUAAGACACGGAGCUGUCAUGUAUCAGUUCUUCUGUCCAGCUAUGCAAGUAGAAGAGACCCAGGGGCUUUCAGCAUCUACAAUCUGCCAGAAGGAUUUCAUGUCUUUUUCCUUGCCACGGGUCUUCUCUGGCUUGGCUGACGACAGUAAGGGGACCAAAGUUCAGAUGGGAUGGAGCAUUGAGGUUGGUGAUGGUGCAAGAGCCAAAACUCUGACCCUGCCAGAGGCCAUGAAGGAAGGCUUCAGCCUCUUGAUUGACAACCACAGGAUGACCUUCCACGUGCCAUUCAAUGCCACUGGAGUGACUCACUAUGUGCAAGGUAAUAGUCAUCUCUACAUGGUGUCUCUGAAGCUUACAUUUAUAUCUCCUGGACAGAAGGUGAUCUUCUCUUCACAAGCUAUUUGUGCACCAGAUCCUGUGACCUGCAAUGCCACACACAUGACUCUCACCAUACCAGAGUUUCCUGGGAAGCUUAAGUCUGUGAGCUUUGAAAACCGGAACAUUGAUGUGAGCCAGCUGCAUGAUAAUGGAAUUGAUCUAGAAGCAACAAAUGGCAUGAAAUUGCAUUUCAGCAAAACUCUGCUCAAAACGAAAGUAUGUUCAAUUGUCAACCACUGAACUCCACCGGGUCCUGACUUGAAGUAUACUCUUGUGGGUAGUCCUCAUACGGCUGAUAACUUGCCCGUGAGCUCUAAUUGCCAACAUAACAGAUUCAAACUCCAAAAGGCCUCAUUUGAUCAUCUUGUAUAAGUGAAAUAUCAAGUAACUAAAGUUCAUUCUCUAACACAAAACCUCUUUAAUUUCUGUCAUGAAAAAUCGUCUAAGUCUUUCUA